AAUGAGAGUUUUUGAAUAUACAUAUUACCAUUACUAAUGUUUUACCUCGUUGAAAAUAUGGUUUGCAAAUUUCUGAAGUUGUGUUAAAUGUCGUUGCAACAAACAUGGAGUUUGUGAUUCCCUAACAAGAAUUUGAAGAAUUUCCCUAACAAAAAUUUGAAGAAAGGUUGUCAUCAACUGAUUUUAUGAUUAACUAGUUAAAGUUUUUAAGGUGAUUAUAAAAAAAUUACAAACUGGGAAAAAAUUAACGAAAAAAAAUUGAAAAACAAAAAUAUGUCUUAGGAGGCCAUGUUUACUCUUGGAGCAAUUUUUAUAUUUGCUGACAUACCCUGUAUGCUGUUUGACUCGCAACCAUUCUAAGUGCACCUGAAAUGAUUACCGAACAUGCACCAAUUUUCAGCACUAUCUGUAUUUUGGUUGUGCAAAUAAUAAAAAAAAUCUCAUAUGUUGCAAAUGACAACACUGUAUAUUAAGAAGCAUGUUGUUCUAUUGAGUGAAUAGUAUUAUGAGAUGUUAGAAUGUUACAGAUAUUUUUAUAGUAUGUUAAAGAUUGUAAUUUUUGUUAAAGAGUGUACAAGUGAUUUGAAAUAAAUUGUUCAGCUAGAAUGAGUUAUGAUUGAUCGUCGAGUCGUUACAAUUAUUUGUGUUGGUAAUAAUUUGUAUUUGUUUUGCAAGACCUAUGCAUGCACUGGAGCAAUUCGCAAUAUACUCUCAGAGACUGCUCGUUUGCUGAGGAAUGUUUUCACUCGAAGAACCCCUCCUAGGCUUGAGCAGGACGUGGAGUUGUCACAUGGUUUCGCUUUUUCACAAGAAGAAGGAGGUGUAGUGUCCCAGUCAGCCGUUAUACGAGCUUACAACACCAACAUUCCCAAGCCUGACGGAAUGUGAAGAAUUCAAAUGUGUUUAUAAUUUUGAUUCAAUUAGAUAUAUACCCAGAAUUCGUUCUUUAGAUAUACGAAAUGUGGUUAUUGGGAAAGGAAUAGCUGUGCGUUUGAUGGCAUGAGAUAAUAUGUGAUUGGGAAAAUGGUAAUUUAUUCCAAUGAAAUAAGUAAUACAGUGUUAGGAAAAAACUCCAGUAAUAUUCAUUACUACACCAAAGGUUCCAAACAGUGCAUCACAAGUUAUUUAAUUUUGAUUUUGUGAAAGUAAUCUUUUUUAGUGCUAUAGAAAGCUAUUGUAUAUCGAAACACGUGUCGCGAUUUUGUAAACCUUUUAUAUUGAAAAUCAAAAUUAAUCUUACACGUAAGUUUUCACGGGACAUUGUUUUACCAUCUGGCUUAGUUUUAAUACGUCCGCUAGAUGUUAUAUCUGAACGAUGAACUUGCCAAUAAUUGAAAUUCAGAUAUGUUAAUUUCGAAGACGCUGAAGUAAUGAAAUCGUCAUCAACUUUUAAUGACAUCAUCAAUUUCAAUGAUUUUUUUUCAGAAUUAAAUCAACUCCACCACAUUCUUCUUGAACAUUGAUUUGUAUUUUUCAGUAUUAGUUGACUACAGUCUCGAGGUGUAUUUUUUACUGAUUGACUCUUUUGAUGGUUUAUUGUUGUCUUCGAACACCGCAGUAGCUAAAAUGUGGCUAGGAAAAAGUUUUUCUCAAAGUUUUGGGGGUUGUACGAUAUUGGAAAAACUAAUUGCAAAAAAUAGGCUUGGGAUUCUUACAUAUUUUAGAUAUUUGGUGCAUUAUUAAAGUAUACUGCCCUGCUAAUCAAGAAGAUCGUAUCUACUUUUUGUGAAAAAAAUCAUCUUAAACUCAUCUCUACCUUUAUGAAAGAUGUCCCUAGCUACCAUCAUCGCGAAUACAUUUGGAUAAUCGUUCGUAUAUUUGGCAUAAGGCAUAUGUAAAAUGGAAAACUUUGAAGAAAUAUGUUUUGUGAAGAUAUGAAUAGUUUGUUUCUGGGACCAUAUUAUUUUGACGUUUGUAUUAGUAACGCCAUAUUGUCCCAAGAAAUCUUACUUUUUCCCAAACUUGAAUCUAACCUAACCUAACCUAUUUUUUUUUUGUCUAAUUUCAUCAACCACUUGCCUUUUUCUAUGCAGGGUAGAGGUAAGAACUAUCUCAAAUGGGAAUUUUGAUGAAAAAGUGUCCACUAGUAAACGAUAAAUUAUAGUAAAAAAACUGACCAAAAUGGCGCUAAUAUCAAAAGUUGUAUGAUAUGAACUUAGAAAUUAUAGAGAACGUGACCUAUGCUGAGUUCGAGUAUUUAAUAUUGUUAAUGACUCAAGUUGUUGAUGAUAUAGAGCUUGUAGAUAUAGAGCUUAUAUUCACGUAGUCGUAUAUUAUUUGGUAAAUAUAAACUAACAAAAUUAUUGUGAGAUAACAUUAAUGAAUUAUUGUGAAAUUAUAAAACCUUCUGUAAGCGGGGGUUUUUAUUUUCGUUUUAUCUAGCUCUCUUUAUUAUUUAACUUUUAGCGCUUCAUUAAAAAUUCACACUGUCACUACAGUGGCGGCUCCCUAAUUUAGUGACUCUGGACGGACACUUUAUGAUUCACAGAGAUGGUUCUCCUCCUUCAUACCUUUUUCUCAAUUAGUCAAGCAGGCAGCGAGAUCUAACCCUGCUCAAUUGGGCAUAAUUUUGACUUUGAUAUAGAUUGACUUUCUGACAGUUAAAUUAUCACACCACUUGAUCUGGUUUUAGAUCGCUAACUCGUUUUCCAAAAAUCUCAGCGUUAGUAAACUGAUUUGAUAAAAUUCGACGGAAAUGGUGUGUACACAGGAAUUAACGUUGGUUUUGGUAACAUCGGUUGUUAGAAAUUUUCAUAUAAUAUGCUAUGUAAACGUGGUUAGAUCUUUACAUGUUAUCUCAAAAUUCAGAAAACUUCAAUAACUCUAUUCAAUCAUACCAAUAGCUGUCUCCUCUUCCAAUGUAACUAUGUUUCAACACAUUGCUUUAUACACACUAUAUACAGGGUGACCAAUGUAAGAUAGCUGUGUUUUAUAACAGUUGCAUUUGAUUGAAGAAAUACUUUUAUGAGAUAUUUUCUAUUAUGUCACUGCAUCCAUGUUUUUGAAUUCUAACAAGGUAUAUCUUGUUAACACCAUUGAUUGGUGACUAGAAAACAAAUGAAUCAGGGCUAUCGAAUUAAUAUGUUGUUUUUAUAUCUCUUGAUAUGUUAAAUUCAAAGAGUAGAAGAAUACAUUUAUGAAUAGAUAAUAAAAUAUGAAUCCUACCAUAUAAAACUGAAGUAUUUCAGUUCUGAAUAGAUUUAAGUAAUAUUUGAUGCAAAUGGCCAAAAAUGGCCAUCCUGUAUAUUCUAAUUUCAUUUUGAUUUUUGAAUUGUUGAUUAUUUAUUGUUAUACUAUGUUAAAGGGUAAUGUUACUGUAAUCUGUUUUUUGUUAUUUAAUUAUAAUCAUAAAAAACAUUAUUCCGAUUUUCGAUCCGCUAAUCAUAUUUUUCAAUGAGUGAAACUAAUUCCUAAAUAACGUUGUUGAACUAAAAUAAAGUCCAGAAGGUAGUACUGAACCUUUUGGUUUAGCAUAAAUCAAAUAAAAAUGCAUGACACAAGAGUAUUGUAUUCUGGUUAGUGGGAAAAAUGUUUUUUGGAAUUGUUUGUUGACUCAAAUAUAUUAUAAAAAGUUUGCAGUCCAAUUUUGACAGUUGUACUUAUGUGAAUUAUUCUUUAUCAAUUACUAUUUGUAAUUACUAUUUGUUGUGAUAUUUUUAUAUGUUAGAACAAUUUUGAUCACAAUUUUGAAACACUAUCAAAUUGAUAGUGUUUCACUCGCUUUGACUUUUCACUAGAGAAUUGGAAUAAUGAUAUGAAAAUUUUGUAUAUAUUCUUAGUCUAAGAGGAUGAAAAAUUGCCGAUAGGUGUGAAAAAUAUUUUAUCCUUUUUACAAAAUAUUGUCAAGUCUAUAUCUAGUAAAGUCAGUAUAGUGAAAAUAGAUGAGGAUAUAUCUUUGUUGAAUAUUUACAAUUACAAUAUAAUAACUAACUAAAAUAAUA